GCUGGACGUUGUGGUGGGCGCCUGUGGUCCCAGCUACUUGGGAGCCAGAGGCAGGAGACUCGCUUGAGCCCAGGAGUUGGAGGUUACUGUGAGCUGUGAUGCCACAGCACUCUACCCAGGGGGACAGCUUGAGGCUCUGUCUUGAAAAAUAAAAAAAAGACUAAAAGUCAAAUACGUGGGAAAAUUUCAAUGUUCAAUUUUAUUUUAUUUUAUUUUAUUUUUUUUUUUUGAGACAGAGCCUCAAGUUGUCCCCCUGGGUAGAGUGCCAUGGCAUUUCAGCUCACAGCAACCUCCAACUCCUGGGCUCAAGCGAGUCUCCUGCCUCCGC
rnacentral:SRP_RNA from 1 species